UGAAAAUCAUUCUCCCUUGCUCCAUCUGAUUCGAGCCACCACAACAAACACCAUCAACAACCGCAACUGCCACCACCUCAACCACCAACUACCACCACUAUCACCUUCGUCCCACACCACUCAACCACCUCUGUCUCCGCCCAGAACUCAUCGGAAAACACCCCUCAAACCUCCCCUGCCCCUCGUCUCUUUCUCCCCUGCCGCACCACCGUACCGCAGCCACCGUCCACCAUCACCACCCUGCACCCUGAUCUCCGUCGCCCAAAAACCCCCGGUGCUCCGCUCUUACCGCCGCCCAGAACAGCCCAAAAAAUACCCCCCCUCCCCUGUCUUUCCCCUGUUUCGCGCGACCACCCUUUCCCCCUUCCCUGUUGUUCCGCCGCCGUGAACCAACAACCACCAUCACCGGCGCACCUUCGCGUCUCCGUGCCGCCCAGGAUUCAGCCACCGCCGUCCCUUCUUCCUCCUUCCCCUCUCCUCUCUCCUUCCUUUGCGUUGCUUCCCCUGUUCCUUCGAGCCUCAGUUUCGAAAAGAAACGAGUUCCAGUGAUUGGAACUUUGUUUCUUUUAUUCCUCAAAUUGAGCCCAACCCUUUGUUUUGGCCCAAUAUCCCAAAAAAUCGAACUCGGAGCUCAGGACGAACGAACCAAGGAAAAAGGCCUAGCAAUCAUGGAAUUGAGGUACUGCUGGGGACCACGGAAAUGAGUAGUGGCGAGGAUUUCACCAUUACCAUGUUCACCUAAGUCAAUGUUAAGUUGUAACAAGUUUAAGUAAAGAUUCUGGAUUAUGUUACGUACUUUUAUUAAGGAUUUAAAAAGGAUCAUUAUGUUAAUCUUGGAGUUUAAUAGCUUAUGAUUGAUGGUUGCCUUGUAAUUCCCAAGAGGGAGUUACGGCAGUAAUGUCCCGACCGAAUUAGGUUAAUUCCGCUGCUAAUUAUGCUUUAAUAAGUGAUUUAGAGGUCGGGGUGUUACACAGUCUUAUACAAAAGAUCGUCUGGGUAUAUAUAAGU